rnacentral:piRNA from 7 species
UCGUACGUAGCAGAGCAGCUCCCU